GAGUUUGAUCAUGGCUCAGGACGAACGCUGGCGGCGUGCCUAAUACAUGCAAGUCGAACGAAUCUCGAAGUUAGCUUGCUAACUUCUUGGUUAGUGGGCGGACGGGUGAGUAACACGUAGGCAACCUGCCCUCAAGAUCGGGAUAACAUUCGGAAACGGAUGCUAAGACCGGAUAAACAAUUGUCCCGCAUGGGAGGAUUGGGAAACACGGUGCAAGCUGUGGCUUGGGGAUGGGCCUGCGGCGCAUUAGCUAGUUGGUGGGGUAACGGCUCACCAAGGCGACGAUGCGUAGCCGACCUGACGAGGGUGAACGGCCACACUGGGACUGAGACACGGCCCAGACUCUACGGGAGGCAGCAGUAGGGAAUCUUCCACAAUGGGCGAAAGCCUGAUGGAGCAACGCCGCGUGAGUGAGGAAGGCUUUCGGGUCGUAAAGCUCUGUUGCCAGGGAAGAAUAAGGAUGAGAGUAA
rnacentral:rRNA from 1 species